UACGUAGGGGGCAAGCGUUGUCCGGAUUUAUUGGGCGUAAAGAGCUCGUAGGCGGUUCCGUAAGUCGAGUGUGAAAAAUCUGGGCUCAACCCAGUGGAGCACUCGAUACUGCGGUGACUAGAGUACGGUAGAGGAGUGUGGAAUUCCUGGUGUAGCGGUGAAAUGCGCAGAUAUCAGGAGGAACACCGGUGGCGAAGGCGGUCUCUGGGCCGAUGUCCUGACGCUGAGGAGCGAAAGCGUGGGAGCGAACAGG
rnacentral:rRNA from 1 species